UGAGAGCCUUGCUCUAACCUAUACAUAAACAUGCAGUGCUUGUGUGCGAUAUUACUAAAACAAAAACUAUAGAAAUCGAAUCAUGUUUAGCAUAAUGUAUAGAUAAUUACUUUAAAAAUGUUAAUGAAGAUUAUAUAUGUAAUAAUAAUUAUGAUUAUAAUUUUGGUACAUGUGUAAUGUGUAUUUAGAUGAUGAGGUCAGUUACUCCAAUAUGGAUAAGUAGUUAUAUGUGAAAUUCACUCUGAUUCUGUGAUUAUUGGGAUAUGCGAAUGAUAUACAUACAUAAUGUAUUCUUAUAUACAUUUGUAGAUUAAGAUACAAACACUGAACCAAAACAAAAAGGAGUUCAUGUUCUUGUCUUGUGAGAAUUUUCUCUGCUUCGUAUCACAUAGUUCAAUCAAUGCUGGGUUUUUUUAAGUGAAUAUAUAUAUUGUUUGCAAAUUUAGACCAAAUGUAACUCCCAUAUGUACAUGUACUGUCAAAAGAUUUGGAAUCAUUAAACAAAUUUCUUCUACAU
rnacentral:misc_RNA from 1 species